CCUACGGGUGGCAGCAGUGAGGAAUAUUGGUCAAUGGCCGAGAGGCUGAACCAGCCAAGUCGCGUGAGGGAAGAAUGUCCUAUGGAUUGUAAACCUCUUUUGUCAGGGAGCAAAGUAACCCACGUGUGGGUGUUGGCGAGUACCUGAUGAAUAAGCAUCGGCUAACUCCGUGCCAGCAGCCGCGGUAAUACGGAGGAUGCGAGCGUUAUCCGGAUUUAUUGGGUUUAAAGGGGGCGUAGAUGGGUUGUUAAGUCAGUUGUGAAAGUUUGCGGCUCAACCGUAAAAUUGCAAUUGAUACUGGCAGUCUUGAGUACAGUUGAGGUAGGCGGAAUGCGUGGUGUAGCGGUGAAAUGCUUAGAUAUCACGAAGAACUCCGAUUGCGAAGGCAGCUUACUAAACUGCCACUGACAUUGAUGCACGAAAGUGUGGGUAUCAAACAGGAUUAGAUACCCCAGUAGUC
rnacentral:rRNA from 1 species